UACGUAGGGUGCAAGCGUUAAUCGGAAUACUGGCGUAAAGCGUGCGCAGGCGGCUUUGCAAGACAGAUGUGAAAAUCCCCGGGCUCCAACCUGGGAACUGCAUUUGUGACUGCAAGGCUAGAGUACGUAGAGGGGGAUGGAAUUCCGCGUGUAGCAGUGAAAUGCGUAGAUAUGCGGAGGAACACCGAUGGCGAAGGCAAUCCCCUGGACCUGUACUGACGCUCAUGCACCGAAAGCGUGGGGAGCAACAGG
rnacentral:rRNA from 1 species